CGCUCGAAAAGGCAAAUCCGUCGAAAGCCGGAGACGCAAAGCCAUGGAUCUAAGGUCGACGUUAGGCUAUGAUCGUCUGGCUACCGAA
rnacentral:ncRNA from 1 species